ACAGUCUGACCAUGCAGUGUUANCGGAUGAAGGGAGCUUGCUCCUGGAUUCAGCGGCGGACGGGUGAGUAAUGCCUAGGAAUCUGCCUGGUAGUGGGGGAUAACGUCCGGAAACGGGCGCUAAUACCGCAUACGUCCUGAGGGAGAAAGUGGGGGAUCUUCGGACCUCACGCUAUCAGAUGAGCCUAGGUCGGAUUAGCUAGUUGGUGGGGUAAAGGCCUACCAAGGCGACGAUCCGUAACUGGUCUGAGAGGAUGAUCAGUCACACUGGAACUGAGACACGGUCCAGACUCCUACGGGAGGCAGCAGUGGGGAAUAUUGGACAAUGGGCGAAAGCCUGAUCCAGCCAUGCCGCGUGUGUGAAGAAGGUCUUCGGAUUGUAAAGCACUUUAAGUUGGGAGGAAGGGCAGUAAGUUAAUACCUUGCUGUUUUGACGUUACCAACAGAAUAAGCACCGGCUAACUUCGUGCCAGCAGCCGCGGUAAUACGAAGGGUGCAAGCGUUAAUCGGAAUUACUGGGCGUAAAGCGCGCGUAGGUGGUUCAGCAAGUUGGAUGUGAAAUCCCCGGGCUCAACCUGGGAACUGCAUCCAAAACUACUGAGCUAGAGUACGGUAGAGGGUGGUGGAAUUUCCUGUGUAGCGGUGAAAUGCGUAGAUAUAGGAAGGAACACCAGUGGCGAAGGCGACCACCUGGACUGAUACUGACACUGAGGAGC
rnacentral:rRNA from 1 species